AUCCUCCAAGGCUAAAUACUCCUGACUGACCGAUAGUGAACCAGUACCGUGAGGGAAAGGCGAAAAGAACCCCGGCGAGGGGAGUGAAAAAGAACCUGAAACCGUGUACGUACAAGCAGUGGGAGCACCUUCGGGUGUGACUGCGUACCUUUUGUAUAAUGGGUCAGCGACUUAUAUUCUGUAGCAAGGUUAACCGUAUAGGGGAGCCGCAGGGAAACCGAGUCUUAACUGGGCGUUAAGUUGCAGGGUAUAGACCCGAAACCCGGUGAUCUAGCCAUGGGCAGGUUGAAGGUUGGGUAACACUAACUGGAGGACCGAACCGACUAAUGUUGAAAAAUUAGCGGAUGACUUGUGGCU
rnacentral:rRNA from 1 species